GAGAGGCUGGUGCGUUCUGACUCUGUGCACGGGAGACGACCCUUCAGAUCAGCUGCAGUGGCUGGUGGACUUCAGCAGGACGGCUCAGGGACGAGGACACGGGAUCUCACUUCUCAUUGGAGGACAAGCCGCUCCAAUCGGUGCCAAACCUCUGAGAAAAGAGGAUUCAACCGAGCUAGAACCUUCUCGUCUGAGCCUGGUGUCGUCUGCACUGUGUGUGGUUCUGCUGUGGUGGAUCCUGCCUCACAUGGCACUUUGUGUUAUCGUCUUGUGCAGUUGGACGGUGCAGCGACACAUGCAAAGAGCUGUGCUGUCAUAGAUAGGCUUAAAGAAAUAAAGACGUGAAAGUA